rnacentral:rRNA from 1 species
AUACGGAGGAUGCGAGCGUUAUCCGGAUUUAUUGGGUUUAAAGGGAGCGUAGGUGGGAUAUUAAGUCAGCUGUGAAAGUUUGGGGCUCAACCUUAAAAUUGCAGUUGAUACUGGUUUCCUUGAGUACGGUAUAGGUGGGCGGAAUUCGUGGUGUAGCGGUGAAAUGCUUAGAUAUCACGAAGAACUCCGAUCGCGAAGGCAGCUCACUGGGCCGGAACUGACACUGAUGCUCGAAAGUGCGGGUAUCAAACAGGAUUAGAUACCCUGGUAGUCCGCACAGUAAACGAUGAAUACUCGCUGUUUGCGAUACACUGUAAGCGGCCAAGCGAAAGCGUUAAGUAUUCCACCUGGGGAGUACGCCGGCAACGGUGAAACUCAAAGGAAUUGACGGGG